rfam:Methyloprofundus sedimenti strain WF1 Contig003, whole genome shotgun sequence.
UUGGGAGCCAAUGCGGAAUCUGAAGGAAGCUCUAGCCAAAUCGAUCACCUAAACGAAAGUGAACCUUCGUAAGGCGGCAACAAGGGGAUAAGGUGCCCGCGGCCACCGAAGUCCAAUAUUCUCACCGUAACGUGUUGUUGUAUUUGUAGUGGUCUAAUAAUCCUGUACUAAACGAUAGGAGU